GCCAGGUGUGAUGGUGCGCACCUGUAGCCCCAGCUACUCAGGAGGCUGAGGCAGGAGGAUCACUUAAGUCCAGGAGUUCUGGGCUAUGGUGCACUGUGCUGAUCAGGUGUCCCCAUCAAUAUGGUUACCUCCCAAGAGCAGAGGCCACCACAUUGCCCAAGGAGGGGUGAACUGGCCCAGGUUGGAAAUGGAGCAGGUCAAAGCUCCUGUGCUGAUCAGUAAUGGGAUUGUCCUGUGAAUAGCCACUGCACUCCAGCCUGGGCAACAAGGCAAGACCCCUUCUCU
rnacentral:SRP_RNA from 1 species